CCUACGGGAGGCAGCAGUGGGGAAUAUUGCACAAUGGGGGAAACCCUGAUGCAGCGACGCCGCGUGAGUGAAGAAGUAAUUCGGUAUGUAAAGCUCUAUCAGCAGGGAAGAAAAUGAAGGUACCUGAGUAAGAAGCAGCGGCUAACUACGAGCCAGCAGCCGCGGUAAUAAGCAGGGGGCAAGCGUUAUCCGGAGUUACUGGGUGUAAUGGGAGUGUAGGCGGCAGUGCAAGUCUGGAGGGAAAGGAGGGGGCUGAACCCCCGGACGGCUUUUGAAACUGUCCGGCUGGAGUUCAGGAGAGGUAAGCGGAAUUCCUAGUGUAGCGGUGAAAUGCGUAGAUAUUAGGAAGAACACCAGUUGCGAAGGCGGCUUACUGGACUGUAACUGACGCUGAGGCUCGAAAGCGUGGGUAGCAAACAGGAUUAGAUACCCCAGUAGUC
rnacentral:rRNA from 1 species